CAUUCUCUCCUUCGAAAUCUGCCAGACCCACACCAAGGGACCCGAACCGAUCCGACCCUGUCUCUAUACCCACUCCUAGACAACCCAAAACUCACAGAAUCCCUAAAAACCAACACGAGUGUUCAUCCCUUCUGAAGAACACGCGAAUCUAGCCCCAAAUUCCAUUCAAAUCCAAGCGAGUGAAGCCCAAAUCCUUAAUUCACGCGUCCCUCCUUCUCUUAUCUCACCAUUUCUAACGAUUUCUGGAACUAAAAAUGCUCCCUCCCUUCAUUCACUCAGGUCAGAGAUUUAGCACGUGAUUGGAAGGUCCUAGAGAUGAAUCGUUGGAUGAGGAUGAAUCGUUGGAUUGGCUUCGUUCAAUCCAAGCCCCAUUUUCAUCAGGGUUUCGUCUCUAUAAAGGACAGAUUUAGAUUUUAGAUACGAGGAUUUUUUUGAGAAGAGAGGAUCUGAAGUCAAAUAGAAGAGUAAUAAAAUUCUAUAGCUAGUGUUCUUCACAUUUAUUUUGUUUUUUUAUUCGCAGUGUUGAAUCUAAAAAAACAUAUAUAGAAAAUGUUUGAAGUUCUGUGACUUUUUUUUGUUCGAUUCAUUGUUCACCCGUUUUGAAAUACAUAUAUUCCGUCUUCAAAGUUAUUGGAAUUCGUUGUUGAUCGAGGCAUCGAUCUGUGGCUGCUGUUGCAUUGCAUCGAUUUCAAGUGCUGAGAUUCUCUUACAUUUUUUUUCAAGUUUAUCACUGCUCCUUCUAUUGUUUCUAUUGUGAAUGAGUCCUGGAUGGACCUGGAAGGAUUGUUAAAAUGGAUUCAGUCGUGAUAAUAGACGAGGCUCGUAUGGUUACCCUCGUUAUGUUUUCAAUGUUCUCCACGAAUUCAUCUGUAGUGAGUCAGCUUCUGAAUAGAUGAGGAGUAAAACUUGUGUGGUUUCAAUAUCGUAUUCGUGUUUGUAUUGAUUUCGAAGAUUGUCUUAGUGUUAUCCUUCAGCUCAUACUUGCUUCAAAAUGGAUCCCCUGCUGAUGUUGCAAAUCUGGUGAUUGUCGCUGUAUAUAAUGUCGAGGUUAUUUCCUGUUGCAUUUGUUCAAAAAAUAAGCUUCGAUGAGCAUUAAUCGCUGUUGUUUAAUUCCUGAAUGACUGUCUAGGUCGUCUUUGAAAUGCUGAUAAUUGGACAUCAUGUUAUAACCCUUAUUCUAACUGUCACCACCUCAUCUCCUAUUUCCUCGUUGUUAAUUUUGGUGUUCAGUCGAGAUAGGCUACUGAUUUGACCAAAUAUCAGUGGUUUCUCGCUAGAUGAUGAUCACUCCGUAAUGAUUUGAGCCUAAAUAAACUGAUAAACUGUGUCAUUCCAUAACAGUUCAUUAAAUAGGUGAUGAUCAGUGAUUUCAUUCUGUAAUAAUGGGCUACCUGUGUAUGUGUAGUUUUUUUUGUGUUGGAAAUCGUUUGAAUCAUUAGCUAUUAGAUCUAUCGUCGUCUUAACUUCGC
rnacentral:lncRNA from 1 species